UACGGGGGGAGCAAGCGUUGUUCGGAUUUACUGGGCGUAAAGGGCGCGUAGGCGGUCAGCACAAGUCAGUUGUGAAAUCUCCGGGCUUAACUCGGAAAGGUCAACUGAUACUGUGCGACUAGAGUGCGGAAGGGGCAACUGGAAUUCUCGGUGUAGCGGUGAAAUGCGUAGAUAUCGAGAGGAACACCUGCGGCGAAGGCGGGUUGCUGGGCCGACGCUGACGCUGAGGCGCGAAAGCCAGGGGAGCGAACGGG
rnacentral:rRNA from 1 species